rnacentral:misc_RNA from 1 species
UGUCCCGGGCCGUAUCAUCAAGUUCGAUGCCGCCAUCGGUGAGGCCGUUCAGUUCGGUCCUCUGCGCGUCAAGCCGCAAGCUUGUUACACGCGGCCAUCGACAGAAGCGGCCAACACCGACGCCUUUGUCGAGGUCGAUGAAAUCACCUUGCAGGGCGAGGUGAAGCGGAUUUUCUCCGGCUGGAUGUUCGCAGCCAGCCCGGGUCUGCACGGCGUCGAGCACCCGAUUUACGAUAUCUGGCUGACCGA